AUUGAACGCUGGCAGCAGGCCUAACACAUGCAAGUCGAACGAGUGGCGGACGGGUGAGUAAUGUCUGGGAAACUGCCUGAUGGAGGGGGAUAACUACUGGAAACGGUAGCUAAUACAGCAUACCAUCAGAUGUGCCCAGAUGGGAUUAGCUAGUAGGGGGGGUAACGGAUCACCUAGUCGACGAUCCAUAGCUGGUCUGAGAGGAUGCCCAGCCACACUGGAACUGAGACACGGUCCAGACUCCUACGGGAGGCAGCAGUGGGGAAUAUUGGACAAUGGGCGCAAGCCUGAUGCAGCCAUGCCACGUGUAUGAAGAAGUCCUUCGGGUUGUAAAGUACUUUCAGCGGGGAGGCGUUACCCGCAGAAGAAGCACCGGCUAACUCCGUGCCAGCAGCCGCGGUAAUUC
rnacentral:rRNA from 1 species